CACCAGACUCCUACGGGAGGCAGCAGUGGGGAAUAUUGCACAAUGGGGGAAACCCUGAUGCAGCGACGCCGCGUGAGCGAUGAAGUAUUUCGGUAUGUAAAGCUCUAUCAGCAGGGAAGAAGAUGACGGUACCUGACUAAGAAGCCCCGGCUAACUACGUGCCAGCAGCCGCGGUAAUACGUAGGGGGCAAGCGUUAUCCGGAUUUACUGGGUGUAAAGGGAGCGUAGACGGCGAUGCAAGCCAGAUGUGAAAGCCCGGGGCUCAACCCCGGGACUGCAUUUGGAACUGUGUGGCUGGAGUGUCGGAGAGGCAGGCGGAAUUCCUAGUGUAGCGGUGAAAUGCGUAGAUAUUAGGAGGAACACCAGUGGCGAAGGCGGCCUGCUGGACGAUGACUGACGUUGAGGCUCGAAAGCGUGGGGAGCAAACAGGAUUAGAUACCCCAGUAU
rnacentral:rRNA from 1 species